rnacentral:rRNA from 1 species
GAUGAACGCUGGCGGCGUGCCUAAUACAUGCAAGUCGAGCGAACAGACGAGGAGCUUGCUCCUCUGACGUUAGCGGCGGACGGGUGAGUAACACGUGGAUAACCUACCUAUAAGACUGGGAUAACUUCGGGAAACCGGAGCUAAUACCGGAUAAUAUAUUGAACCGCAUGGUUCAAUAGUGAAAGACGGUUUUGCUGUCACUUAUAGAUGGAUCCGCGCCGCAUUAGCUAGUUGGUAAGGUAACGGCUUACCAAGGCAACGAUGCGUAGCCGACCUGAGAGGGUGAUCGGCCACACUGGAACUGAGACACGGUCCAGACUCCUACGGGAGGCAGCAGUAGGGAAUCUUCCGCAAUGGGCGAAAGCUUGACGGAGCAACGCCGCGUGAGUGAUGAAGGUCUUCGGAUCGUAAAACGCUGUUAUUAGGGAAGAACAAAUGUGUAAGUGACUAUGCACGUCUUGACGGUACCUAAUCAGAAAGCCACGGCUAACUACGU